rnacentral:tRNA from 1 species
UGGGGUGUAGCCAAGCGGUAAGGCAACAGACUUUGACUCUGUCAUUCACUGGUUCGAGUCCAGUCACUCCAGCCA